rnacentral:rRNA from 1 species
UACGGAGGGUGCGAGCGUUGUUCGGAAUCACUGGGCGUAAAGCGCGUGUAGGCGGCCCACUAAGUCUGAUGUGAAAGCCCGGGGCUCACCCCCGGAAGUGCAUUGGAAACUGGUGGACUCGAGUCCCGGAGAGGAGAGUGGAAUUCCUGGUGUAGCGGUGAAAUGCGUUGAUAUCGGAAGGAACGCCGGUGGCGAAAGCGGUCCGCUAGGCCCGUCUACUGGACCGCUGAGG